CACAGAGACAUGAGGAUCCAGCCGCGAGCGUGACUGCUUUUAGACGGAUUCUGAUUCAGCUGUUUACAGAUCUGACAGUAGAUCUCAUCUCUGCAGGAGGAACAACACUCGGGGUCAAUCAGUGUUUUACAAUCAUAACCGGAUAUUUACAGCAGAUAUCCACAGUCUGACCUCAGGCCCGGACGCAAGAUGCCGUUGCCGAUGAUGAAGUGCAGUUUCUCCAGAUUGGACGUGGGUCGAUCCUCCAACAUGCUGUUUCCAUGAACGGUGUAUUCGCCAUCAUUCAGACGCUUGGUCACCUACAGGACAAACAAACAGAGGGUGAGCGACACCAGUUUGUGCCGCACGCUGCUCUUCUUGUGACUGUCAAUGUGAGCGUUCUGCAGCAGACAGACAAACUCAACGCCUGCAGUUCCCUCUUGUAGGUUUUCUUUCCAAGCGUCUCGUAGAUCUUAGUCAUGACAGGGAUCUUCUCGCUGCCGUCGCUGAUGGCCGUGUGGUAUUUGGGUUCGGGAAGGUCACCCAUGAAUCGCAGGACAGUGAUCCACACGGCUAGAGCUGCCUGCAGGACCAGCAGAUCACCAUUAAACACUUCUACAUUCAUGAAGAAACGGUCAAAGAAACAUCUGAAAAAUCAGACAGCAGUUGGUGACUGAUCGGCCUCCCAGACACACCUCAUGGACACUGAGCACUUUGGGAUCUUGCACUCAUGCACCGUUGU